rnacentral:rRNA from 1 species
AGAUUGAACGCUGGCGGCAUGCUUUACACAUGCAAGUCGAACGGUAACAGGCCGCAAGGUGCUGACGAGUGGCGAACGGGUGAGUAAUGUAUCGGAACGUGCCCAGUCGUGGGGGAUAACGCAGCGAAAGCUGCGCUAAUACCGCAUACGAUCUAUGGAUGAAAGCGGGGGACCGUAAGGCCUCGCGCGAUUGGAGCGGCCGAUAUCAGAUUAGGUAGUUGGUGGGGUAAAGGCUCACCAAGCCAACGAUCUGUAGCUGGUCUGAGAGGACGACCAGCCACACUGGACUGAGACACGGCCCAGACUCCUACGGGAGGCAGCAGUGGGGAAUUUUGGACAAUGGGCGCAAGCCUGAUCCAGCAAUGCCGCGUGCAGGAAGAAGGCCUCGGUUGUAACUGUCUUUGUACGGUAACGAAACGGUACCGUAGGUUAAGUACCGUAGGGCGUAAUAGACGGUAACCGUAAGAAAGUAAGACGACCGACUAACUACCGU